rnacentral:misc_RNA from 1 species
AACUUUCAGCAACGGAUCUCUUGGCUCUCGCAUCGAUGAAGAACGCAGCGAAAUGCGAUAAGUAAUGUGAAUUGCAGAAUUGAGUGAAUCAUCGAAUCUUUGAACGCACCUUGCGCUCCUUGGUAUUCCGAGGAGCAUGCCUGUUUGAGUGACAUUAAUAUAUCAACCUUCUCUUUUUGAGUGGUUUGGAUGUGGGGGUUUGCUGGCCUCUUAAAAAGGUCUUGGCUCUCCUGAAAUACAUUAGCAGAACAACCCUGUUCAUUGGUGUGAUAAACUAUCUACGCUAUUGAAUGUGAAGGGCAGUUUGGCUUUCUAACAGUCCUUGGACAAGCUCAUCAUUAAUGUGACCUCAAAUCAGGUAGGACUACCCGCUGAACUUAAGCAUAUCAAUAAGCGGAGGCU